rnacentral:rRNA from 1 species
UACGAAGGGGGCUAGCGUUGCUCGGAAUCACUGGGCGUAAAGGGCGCGUAGGCGGAUCUUUAAGUCAGAGGUGAAAGCCCAAGGCUCAACCUUGGAAUUGCCUUUGAUACUGGAGAUCUUGAGACCGGUAGAGGUAAGUGGAACUGCGAGUGUAGAGGUGAAAUUCGUAGAUAUUCGCAAGAACACCAGUGGCGAAGGCGGCUUACUGGACCGGUUCUGACGCUGAGGCGCGAAAGCGUGGGGAGCAAACAGGAUUAGAAACCCUUGUAGUCC